rnacentral:rRNA from 1 species
AGUCGACGGUUAAGCAUCUUCGGAUGUGUAUAAAGUGGCGAACGGCUGAGUAACACGUGGGCAACCUGCCCUUUGCACUGGGAUAGCCUCGGGAAACCGAGGUUAAUACCGGAUACUCCAUAUUUGUCGCAUGGCGAAUAUGGGAAAGCUCCGGCGGCAAAGGAUGGGCCCGCGGCCUGUUAGCUAGUUGGUGGGGUAGUGGCCUACCAAGGCAAUGAUGGGUAGCCGGGUUGAGAGACCGACCGGCCAGAUUGGGACCGAGACACGGCCCAGACUCCUACGGGAGGCAGCAGUGGGGAAUCUUGCACAAUGGGCGAAAGCCUGAUGCAGCGACGCCGCGUGCGGGAUGAAGGCCUUCGGGUUGUAAACCGCUUUCAGCAGGGACGAGGCCGCAAGGUGACGGUACCUGCAGAAGAAGCCCCGGCUAACUACGUGCCAGCAGCCGCGGUAAUACGUAGGGGGCAAGCGUUAUCCGGAUUCAUUGGGCGUAAAGCGCGCGUAGGCGGUCUGUUAGGUCAGGAGUUAAAUCUGGGGGCUCAACCCCUAUCCGCUCCUGAUACCGGCAGGCUUGAGUCUGGUAGGGGAAGAUGGAAUUCCAAGUGUAGCGGUGAAAUGCGCAGAUAUUUGGAAGAACACCGGUGGCGAAGGCGGUCUUCUGGGCCAUGACUGACGCUGAGGCGCGAAAGCUAGGGGAGCGAACAGGAUUAGAUACCCUGGUAGUCCUAGCUGUAAACGAUGGACACUAGGUGUGGGGAGAUUAUACUUUCCGUGCCGCAGCUAACGCAUUAAGUGUCCCGCCUGGGGAGUACGGUCGCAAGACUAAAACUCAAAGGAAUUGACGGGGGCCCGCACAAGCAGCGGAGCAUGUGGCUUAAUUCGAAGCAACG